AGUCCGAUGAUUAGAAAGAUCUUUGAGUCCUGCCCGAAAGCGCCCGAGAUAGCGUGAGGCGAUUGACACGCUCGAUGACGGCACUGACAACGGUAGUAACAAUGACGACUAAAUCUAAGGUAUGAGGAUA
rnacentral:snoRNA from 14 species